rnacentral:rRNA from 1 species
GAUGAAUGCUGGCGGCGUGCCUAACACAUGCAAGUCGAGCGGCAGCGAGGGGUGCUUGCACCCUGUCGGCGAGCGGCGAACGGCUGAGUAACGCGUAGGAAUUUGCCCCAAAGUGAGGAAUAACUGCCCGAAAGGGUAGCUAAUGCCGCAUAUGGUCUUCGGAUUAAAGGAUUUAUCCGCUUUGGGAGAAGCCUGCGUUGGAUUAGGUUGUUGGUAGGGUAAUGGCCUACCAAGCCGACGAUCCAUAGCUGGUCUGAGAGGAUGAUCAGCCAGACUGGAACUGAGACACGGUCCAGACUCCUACGGGAGGCAGCAGUGAGGAAUCUUCCACAAUGGGCGAAAGCCUGAUGGAGCAACGCCGCGUGAAGGAUGAAGGCCUUCGGGUUGUAAACUUCUUUUAGGAGUGAAGAAUAUGACGGUAACUCAUGAAUAAGCACCGGCUAACUACGU